rnacentral:rRNA from 1 species
UACGUAGGGUCCAAGCGUUAUCCGGAAUCACUGGGCGUAAAGCGUGCGCAGGCGGUCUGUUAAGUGAGAUGUUAAAUCGUGUGGCUCAACCAUAUCGAUGCAUCUCAUACUGGCAGAUUAGAGGAAGGCAGAGGCAAGUGGAAUUGGUAGUGUAGCAGUGAAAUGCGUAGAUAUUACCAGGAACACCAAUGGCGAAGGCAGCUUGCUGGGCCUUAUCUGACGCUCAGGCACGAAAGCGUGGGGAG